GAGAGAACAAAGAGGAGGGCUACGAGAAAGAAGAGGAGAUCUUAGUGAGGGAGAAGUGGUGACAGAAUGCAUGUGACACGGCCGUAAAGGAGGACCGACGUGAUCAAGGGAUGUCUGAAAAUGUCAUAAUGUUUAUGUUUGUUUCCCUUACAUUGGAAGACGGCAUUUAUUCCUCUCAAUAGGAGUUACGCAGAUAAAACCACCUAAUGUCAACUCUACAUGUGCUUAAAAAGGACUUAAUUUUGAACACAAAGUACUCGUAAAAGAGAGGAAGAAACCUGAUAUUAAUAUAUCAGUACUGUGAGAGGGAUAUAUACUGUUCGUAGAGGAUCUUCUGAGGUUGGCAAUACUCCUUUCAAGUUCCUUUGACUAUCUAACAAAAAAAACCAAUACAAGUCCUGAGAAGUACCCUCUCAAGCCUGCCUCAACAAAACAAACUAUUAUUGUUGCCAUUGCUUGCCUCCCUGAGGUUGAAAGAUGAGAACUCGGAUAGAAGGGGCCAUGGAAACAUCAAAGAAGCUUUGCAGUUUUAUGAGGUCCCAUUUGUCGGUUCUCGAUCUUACAGCACAAGCCAUUGCUGUAAAAAAAAUAUUCUAACAGCAACAUUAUUCCAAUGUUUUAAAUAUAAUUCUACAAGUCACAAGAGAGCCAGCCAUGAAGAGACAA
rnacentral:lncRNA from 1 species